CCUACGGGAGGCAGCAGUAGGGAAUAUUGCGCAAUGGGCGAAAGCCUGACGCAGCAACGCCGCGUGCACGAUGAAGGUCUUCGGAUCGUAAAGUGCUUUUAUGAGGGAAGAGAAAGGACUGUACCUCAUGAAUAAGGAUCGGCUAACUACGUGCCAGCAGCCGCGGUAACACGUAGGAUCCAAGCGUUAUCCGGAUUUACUGGGCGUAAAGCGCGUGCAGGUGGUUUGGUAAGUUGGAUGUUAAAUCUCCCGGCUCAACUGGGAGCUGUCGUUCAAAACUGCCAUUCUAGAGGACGGUAGAGGAAGGUGGAAUUCAGGGUGUAGUGGUGAAAUGCGUAGAUAUCCUGAGGAACACCAGUGGCGAAGGCGGCCUUCUGGCCCGCUCCUGACACUAAGACGCGAAAGCUAGGGUAGCGAACGGGAUUAGACACCCCGGUAGCCCUAGCUGUAAACGAUGUGAACUUGGUGUUGGUGGGGUAAAACCCAUCAGUGCCGCAGCAAACGCGAUAAGUUCACCGCCUGGGGACUACGGUCGCAAGAUUAAAACUCAAAGGAAUUGACGG
rnacentral:rRNA from 1 species